GCAUUAAUGAGGUAGUGGUAACCUGGGUCGUUGCCAUUCAAUAGUUGUCGACCCGCCGGGGGUUCAAUUCCCCCUUAAUGCA